GACGAACGCUGGCGGCGUGCCUAAUACAUGCAAGUAGGACGCAGUUGCGAACGGGUGAGUAACGCGUAGGUAACUACCUAUUAGAGGGGGAUAACUAUUGGAAACGAUAGCUAAUACCGCAUACUAGUAGAUGGACCUGCGUUGUAUUAGCUAGUAGGUAGGGUAAUGGCCUAACUAGGCAACGAUACAGAGCCGACCGGCGAGGGGGAUCGGCCACAAUGGGACGGAGACAAGUGACAGACUCCUACGGGAGGUAGCAGUAGGGAAUCGUAGGCAAUGGGGGGAACCCUGAUCGAGCAACGCCGCGUGAGUGAAGAAGGUUGUCGGAUCGUAAAGCUCUGUUGUUAAGGAAGCGGUACUUAACCAGAAAGGGACGGCUAACUACGUGCCAGCAGCCGCGGUAAUUC
rnacentral:rRNA from 1 species